rnacentral:rRNA from 1 species
GACGAACGCUGGCGGCGUGCUUAACACAUGCAAGUCGAACGAGAGCGUAGAGAAAGCUUGCUUUUUCUACAAUCUAGUGGCAAACGGGUGAGUAACGCGUAAACAACCUGCCCUACGGAUGGGGACAACAGCUGGAAACGGCUGCUAAUACCGAAUACGUUCCGAAAGUCGCAUGACUAUCGGAAGAAAGGAUGGCCUCUAUUUAUAAGCUAUCGCCGGAGGAGGGGUUUGCGUCUGAUUAGCUAGUUGGAGGGGUAACGGCCCACCAAGGCGACGAUCAGUAGCCGGUCUGAGAGGAUGAGCGGCCACAUUGGAACUGAGACACGGCCCAGACUCCUACGGGAGGCAGCAGUGGGGAAUCUUCCGCAAUGGGCGAAAGCCUGACGGAGCAACGCCGCGUGAGUGAAGACGGCCUUCGGGUUGUAAAGCUCUGUUAUACGGGACGAAUAAUCUUGUGGUUAAUACCCAUGAGAAGUGACGGUACCGUAAGAGAAAGCCACGGCUAACUACGUG